rnacentral:rRNA from 1 species
UACGUAGGGGGCAAGCGUUGUCCGGAUUUAUUGGGCGUAAAGAGCGUGUAGGCGGCCAGGUAGGUCUGCUGUGAAAACUCGAGGCUCAACCUCGAGACGUCGGCGGAAACUAUCUGGCUAGAGUCCGGAAGAGGAGAGUGGAAUUCCUGGUGUAGCGGUGAAAUGCGCAGAUAUCAGGAAGAAUAUCCGUGGCGAAGGCGGCUCUCUGGGACGGUACUGACGCUGAGACGCGAAAGCGUGGGGAGCGAACAGG